AAGAAUUCGGUCUCUGUGACUGCUCCAUCUUUUGGGGAGGCACCUGCCCCUCCAUAAACUGAGCCGGGGUUAAAUGGAGUGAGACCUUCACUAAAGUCAAAGCCCUAUUCGUUCUGCCUUGUAAAGGUUUACUUGCUCUUGUUCUUCAUGUUCUCUCCACAUUCCAUCAAGUGAGGGGAGUAGAGAGCAGUUGCUUGGCUGCUGGAUGAGGAGGGAGGAGAUGGGCAGGUGGAAUUUAAAUAAACAGAGCGUCACUGAAUACUACCUAUGAAGUCAAUGAAUGUGGUAUAUAACUUGUAUCGACCACAUGAUGAUUAGGCUUGGAUAUGAAGUGAUUGAAAUCAUGUUCUGAACCACAUCUGAAAGCCCUGGACUACUAUCUUGAGAGCAUUCAACUCACUGAGGCAUUAAAAGCAUUUCUGACUGCACUGUUCACAAAAUUGUAACCUUACCAGACAAUCUAACAAGGGAAAUGCAUACUAGAUUCAAAAUGACACUUCUUUUUUUCUUCUCAUGGAAAGUCAGAACACAGAGUAAAUGAGUAGACGGAUGCACUACCGGAAAUUAUCCUCAGCAUGUCAUGAGUAAAGGAAAUGCAGAGUUUUGGAGCUGUCCACAUGUUAGCUUGUCAGAUGAGGAAAGUACGGGCUGGAAUGCAAAUUUAAAAUGCCAUAUAUUCCUCUGCAGAAAGAUGAAAAAUGAAGGUGAAGGCAAUUCUCCCAGUUGCUGCUAGCAUUUCAGAGAAUGGAUGACACUCAUGCUUCCAGAUUUAGAGACUCAGCUGUAUGAGGGAAAAUAAUACUUUGCUACUCCAAUCAUAAUAUUUGUGUAUUAAUGAGUUACUAAUUUAAGAUCUGGAACUGAUCUUCCAGCUCCUCAUUUC
rnacentral:lncRNA from 7 species